GAUUAUCCUCGCACCCUCUAAGUCUUCCAAGGCCACCAUCUGCACUCGCUGGAAGGGGCUUAGGUUGAGGGUCGGACAGUCUUACAGGUGGAGAGACAGGCUGGGUUACACACUCACCAGCAGUCUCUAAGGCUCCUAGCUUCUGCCCGGGGGGCCGGGCGUCGACCCGGGUCGCCUCCCGAGGGCGCACACAGUCCUCGCUAGUGCGCGCAGAACCAGAGGGGCGGCGACGGUUCACCGCAGAAUCGGCUCCCGGACUGCGCGCGGCGUCUCCCGGGAGGCAGCCGCUGCGGAACUGGGCUGUCGGUCUGUCAGAGAUUGACCUAAAGCCGCGGAAGCGGGUGGCGGCUCUCCGGGACGCUCUGCGAGGCGGCGCAAGUGGCGCAGCUGCUGCUGCUACUCCGGACCGUAAAAUUCCGCCCUUGGCGACACCUGCGCCUGUCGGUCACCCAGCCAGGGCCUCAGGACGACCCGCCCCUCUGUCCCUGGACCUCUGUAGGAACCCAGAGAAUUAAUGUUAAUUAUCUUCAUUGGUCGCCCUCUCUUCCUUCUCCCUUAGUCCGCCAGGUUGGAGACAGGAAAAGGUGGCGUUUUCCGGCGUUGAGGUCUCCGCCGGCUUGGUUGACCUGGAAAAGGAGCUAGAACCCAGAGGAGUCGCACGCUCAGGGCCUGGCCCCCACCUUGGGACUCUCAGGUUGCCUGGAAAUCCUGGCACAAAGCGGAGCCCCUCCUGGAGACCUUGGCUUCCCCGAACGCUAUCGGGGUUAUCACAAGGGUGCCCCCCCUCUCCCCCCUAAUCUGAAUCGCUCUGAAACCUUAGACUGGGUGCACUUUAAGCACAAUUCCUAAACCAAGGUCGACGUUAAGAUGAAUUUAAAAAGGAAGCGGACACAACUGUUCGGGAAAGCAAAAUACUUGGGUGGAGUGUUAAAAGCCUCAAAGAAAAUAAUAGUUGGCAGGUUAAACGGCCAUGAGGUCGGAAGUCAAAUACAGAAUGGCAGAAGUGAUACCAGAAUUUUGACAAGCAAAACAGUCGGUGAAGAUAAGGGACCCGGUACAGUUUCCCUUCUGCAAAUGACCGACUGCUCCGAAGCUGCCUUUGGCAGAUACCUGGAUUCCACUCCAGGUUCCUCAGUUUUACUUGGGGUUCAUAUUUCAAAAUAUAUGUUCCAUUUGGCACUAAUGUAUAUAUUUUAUAUAUGAAUUUAUUGAAAAAUAUUAAAUGUUACUGGCCUAGUUAGAUAAAGGUAUUUUUAUAAAUAUUUAUGCACAGCUUUCAUUACAUAUGGUAUUUUAAAACGUACAAAUAUGCAUGUAUAUACAUUUAUGAAAUGCUGUAUGAAAAGUCCUUUUUUAUGCAUAAAAGCAUUCCUUACACAUAUGUCAUGUGUGUGAUUUUUUAAUGUGUUCUAUUGUUAGCUGCCAUUAAAUGCAGUCCAUUUCCACGUGUCUAAGUAAAUAAUUUCUUUUACAGUUUGUGCAAACGUAGGGUGGCAGGUGGCUAGAAGUGAAAACUUUAUCCCAGAACUGUUGUCAUUCUUAUGAGCUGUUUCUGGUUCACCUAGAGGUGGUUCCUUCUAUUGUGGUUUUAAACAAGUCUUUACCUUUGAGCCCUAAACGGCGCACGUGUAACCUACCUCUUCAAGGGUUUCUGGUGGCGCUGACUUGAUCCAUCCUGGCUUCUCUGAGGCCGUGUUAUUUUAUUUGUCCUGAACACCUUCAGCGAAGAAAAAAAAAAAGCCCUCAUGUUGCGAAUUUUCUAUCCAAAUGAGUUCAUUUCCUGAUUUAGUCAUGGCAGCAUUUUGGUUUCAUGGGUUUAGAUUGUGUUAACUUCAGGAGGCUCUCCUGCUAAGCAGAAAGGAAAACUUUGCUUUGUGACCACUGAGCCUUUCUGAGACUGUAUUUCAGAGAGGGUUAGCCUUGGGGGGAAAAAAAUCAGUGGGAAUCUUGGAAGUCUGGGACUAAUAACUAUAGCACACGGGACCCGGGGAUGAGUCCCUAUCAUCUCGUUGACUUCCCACUGAAGCCAGACUAGGCUAGUGUUGGUUCUCCUAGGAUGGAGUAGGGAGAACUGUCAUGCAGCUUCUGUUUAUGGCUGCCUUGCCAAUAAACUUGCUCUCACUUGUCUUCAUCUCACCAUAUCGGACUCCAAGCUGCCCUGCAGUUUAUUCCUGCUGAGCCCUGCCCUCUAUCUGUCCAGGACACUUCUUCCCCCAAAGCUUAAAGCCUCCUUUCUCCCUUCAUUAAGAUCUUUUUUCAAAUAAGACUUCAAGAGUGAGACUUUCCCUCCCCUAAAAUAGCAGUCCCACCCAAAUUCCCUUUCCCUGCAUAAAGCAGGAAGAAUAGUUUCUUCAUGACCUGACAUGACAUCAUAUGUAUUUAUAGAGUUGGUUAUGGCCUGUUUUCUGUGUUCCAUGGAUGGAUGGGCAUAAAGUACUUUGUAGCUUCUGUACCUAAAACAAGGCCUGGCACAUAAUAAUAAUAUCUGUUGAAUAAAAAGUCCUUAAUAGCAAUC
rnacentral:lncRNA from 1 species